rnacentral:piRNA from 1 species
UCCCAAGCGCUCUGAAAGGGUGCACCAGUU